GCCCGCCGGGCCGCGCGCCGCUGCCGCCGCCCGGUGCCGGCGGGCGCCGGCGGUGCGGCCGCCGGGUCGAUGUUCCAGUCGCAGGCCGGGCACCA
rnacentral:tRNA from 1 species